CCUACGGGAGGCAGCAGUGAGGAAUAUUGGUCAAUGGGCGAGAGCCUGAACCAGCCAAGUCGCGUGAGGGAAGACGGUCCUAUGGGUUGUAAACCUCUUUUGCCGGGGAGCAAAAAGCGGUACGCGUACCGCAUCGAGAGUACCCGGAGAAAAAGCAUCGGCUAACUCCGUGCCAGCAGCCGCGGUAAUACGGAGGAUGCGAGCGUUAUCCGGAUUGAUUGGGUUUAACGGGUGCGCAGGCGGCGAGUUAAGUCAGCGGUAACAUUUCGGGGCUCAACCCCGACAAGCCGUUGAAACUGGGGAUCUUGAGUGGGCGAGAAGUAUGCGGAAUGCGUGGUGUAGCGGUGAAAUGCAUAGAUAUCACGCAGAACUACGAUUGCGAAGGCAGCAUACCGGCGCCCGACUGACGCUGAGGCACGAAAGCGUGGGGAUCGAACAGGAUUAGAUACCCGGGUAGUC
rnacentral:rRNA from 1 species